rnacentral:rRNA from 1 species
GAUGAACGCUGGCGGCGUGCCUAAUACAUGCAAGUCGAGCGAACAGACGAGGAUCUUGCUCCUCUGACGUUAGCGGCGGACGGGUGAGUAACACGUGGAUAACCUACCUAUAAGACUGGGAUAACUUCGGGAAACCGGAGCUAAUACCGGAUAAUAUAUUGAACCGCAUGGUUCAAUAGUGAAAGACGGUUUUGCUGUCACUUAUAGAGGGAUCCGCGCCGCCUUAGCUAGUUGGUAAGGUAACGGCUUACUAAGGCGACGAUGCGUAGCCGACCUGAGAGGGUGAUCGGCCACACUGGAACUGAGACACGGUCCAGACUCCUACGGGAGGCAGCAGUAGGGAAUCUUCCGCAAUGGGCGAAAGCCUGACGGAGCAACGCCGCGUGAGUGAUGAAGGUCUUCGGAUCGUAAAACUCUGUUAUUAGGGAAGACCAAAUGUGUAAGUAACUAUGCACGUCUUGACGGUACCUAAUCAGAAAGCCACGGCCAACUACGUG